UACGUAGGGUGCAAGCGUUAAUCGGAAUUACUGGGCGUAAAGCGUGCGCAGGCGGUUAUGCAAGGCCGAGGUGAAAUCCCCGGGCUCAACCUGGGAACUGCCUUUGUGACUGCAUAGCUAGAGUACGGUAGAGGGGGAUGGAAUUCCGCGUGUAGCAGUGAAAUGCGUAGAUAUGCGGAGGAACACCGAUGGCGAAGGCAAUCCCCUGGACCUGUACUGACGCUCAUGCACGAAAGCGUGGGGAGCAAACAGG
rnacentral:rRNA from 1 species